UACGUAGGGGUGAGCGUUGUCCGGAAUUAUUGGGCGUAAAGGGCUCGUAGGCGGUUUGUCGCGUCGGGAGUGAAAACCAGGUGCUUAACACCUGGCUUGCUUUCGAUACGGGCAGACUAGAGGUAUUCAGGGGAGAACGGAAUUCCUGGUGUAGCGGUGAAAUGACGCAGAUAUCAGGAGGAACACCGGUGGCGAAGGCGGUUCUCUGGGAAUGACCUGACGCUGAGGAGCGAAAGUGUGGGGAGCGAACAGG
rnacentral:rRNA from 1 species